UACGUAGGGUGCAAGCGUUAAUCGGAAUACUGGGCGUAAAGCGUGCGCAGGCGGUUAUGUAAGACAGUUGUGAAAUCCCCGGGCUCAACCUGGGAACUGCAUCUGUGACUGCAUAGCUAGAGUACGGUAGAGGGGGGGGAGUAGGUCAACUCCGCGUGUAGCAGUGAAAUGCGUAGAUAUGCGGAGGAACACCGAUGGCGAAGGCAAUCCCCUGGACCUGUACUGACGCUCAUGCACGAAAGCGUGGGGAGCAAACAGG
rnacentral:rRNA from 1 species